CCUACGGGUGGCAGCAGUGGGGGAUAUUGCACAAUGGGGGAAACCCUGAAGCAGCAACGCCGCGUGGAGGAUGAAGGUUUUCGGAUUGUUAACUCCUUUUGUUAGAGAAGCUAAUGACGGUAUCUAACGAAUAAGCACCGGCUAACUCCGUGCCAGCAGCCGCGGUAAUAUGGAGGGUGCAAGCGUUACUCGGAAUCACUGGGCGUAAAGAGCGCGUAGUCGGGAUAGCAAGUCAGAUGUGAAAUCCUAUGGCUUAACCAUAGAACUGCAUUUGAAACUGUUAUUCUAGAGUAUGGGAGAGGGAGGUGGAAUUGUGGGUGUAGGGGUAAAAACCGUAGAGAUCAAGAGGAAUACUCAUUGCGAAGGCGAGCUGCUAGAACAUAACUGACGCUGAUGCGCGAAAGCGUGGGGAGCAAAAAGGAUUAGAUAACCCUGGUAGUC
rnacentral:rRNA from 1 species